GCAUUGGUGGCUCAGUGGUAGAACUCCUGCCUGCCACACCAGCGUCCAGGGUUUGUAUCCUGGCAAAUGCU
rnacentral:tRNA from 1 species